CGUACGCUGCGGCAGCACCAGCAACGAUGACAUUGGACGGUGAAAACGGCCACCACCACAUUGUCCUCAAAGUCUUUAUUGUUUACAUGAAUGGACCUGUACACGAUACGCCAAAGAAUAAUAUAGUUGCAGAACAAUAACGAUGAGGUUAAACCGAGUUUAAGGUCGACGCUACGUAAAUCGAAGUUGCUUGUCCAAGUCCCGACUCCCGGGCUAUUAUCGUUUUUAUUUUUAACAGACAAAAGUGCCUCGAUCGUAAUAGUGGUAAGUAGUGGCUUUACCCCAGGAAUAAAGAUGACAAAAAUAACAUAAAUGUAAAAUUGUAAAACCGCCUGUUUUUUUAAUGUUUUACAAAACAAUUUCCGAAAAAAGUUAAUACUUUCCGAGAUAAUCAAUGCACCGACUUAAAAAUAAAACCAUGUGUUAAUAACAAAGGUC